ACACACGUGUUACAAUGGCAGGUACAGAGGGGUGCUACCGGGUGACCGGAUGCCGAUCUCGAAAACCUGUCCCAGUUCGGACUGGAGUCUGCAACCCGACUCCACGAAGUUGGAUUCGCUAGUAAUCGCGCAUCAGCCAUGGCGCGGUGAAUACGUUCCCGGGCCUUGUACACACCGCCCGCCAAGCCAUGGGAGCCGGGGGCGCCUGAAGUCCGGGACCGCGAGGACCGGCCUAGGGCGAAACUGGUGACUGGGGCUAAGUCGUAACAAGGUACC
rnacentral:rRNA from 1 species